rnacentral:tRNA from 1 species
GUCGUGGCUCAGCGGUAGAGUGCUCACCUAAAAUGUGCAAAGCCCUGGGUUCGAUCCUCAGCACUACA